GACUGAGCGGACGGCAGGGGCAGGAGCCCGGGCCGAGCCUGCAGCGCCCAGCGGCCCGGGACGGGACGCGCGGCCGCGGGCUGCGGCGCCGCCGAACUUCGGGGCGGGCGGGGGGCCGGCGCCGGGGGCUCUGCAGAGCGGGGGCCGCCCCCGCACCAUGAUGUUCCGCGACCAGGUCGGGGUGCUGGCGGGCUGGUUCAAGGGCUGGAACGAGUGCGAGCAGACCGUGGCGCUGCUGUCGCUGCUCAAGCGCGUGAGCCAGACGCAGGCCCGCUUCCUGCAGCUCUGCCUGGAGCACUCGCUGGCCGACUGCGCCGAGCUGCACGUCCUCGAGGGCGAGGCCAACAGCCCCGGGCAUAGGUCCAAAUUUGAAGCAGAUGGCGGAAAAGAUGGAUGGCUACCGAGAUCUCCAGGAAUCAUUAACCAAUGGCAACAGGAAUCCAAGGAUAAAGUGAUUUCCCUCCUGUUAACUCACCUGCCUUUGCUGAAGCCAGGGAACCUCGACGCUAAAGCAGAGUAUAUGAAACUGCUGCCCCAAAUCCUGGCGCACUCUAUUGAGCACAACCAGCACAUCGAGGAGAGCAGGCAGCUGCUAUCCUACGCUCUGAUCCACCCGGCCACAUCGCUGGAGGACCGCAGCGCAUUAGCCAUGUGGCUGAAUCACUUGGAGGACCGCACAUCGACCAGCUUUGGCGGCCAGAACCGAGGCCGCUCAGACUCUGUGGAUUAUGGGCAGACGCACUACUAUCACCAAAGACAGAACUCCGAUGACAAGCUCAACGGGUGGCAGAACUCUCGGGAUUCUGGGAUUUGCAUCAACGCCUCUAACUGGCAGGACAAAAGCCUGGGGUGUGAGAACGGCCAUGUGCCCCUCUACUCCUCCUCAUCCGUCCCCACCACAAUCAACACCAUCGGAACCAGCACAAGUACAAUUCUCUCAGGCCAGGCACACCACAGCCCUUUGAAACGAUCUGUGUCCCUUACCCCACCCAUGAAUGUGCCAAACCAGCCUCUAGGACAUGGAUGGAUGUCUCAUGAGGACUUACGAGCUAGAGGACCCCAGUGCCUCCCAUCCGAUCAUGCCCCCCUGUCUCCACAAAGCAGUGUAGCCUCUUCAGGAAGUGGUGGGAGUGAACACUUAGAAGAUCAGACCACUGCUCGUAACACAUUCCAAGAAGAAGGUAGUGGUAUGAAAGAUGUUCCAGCCUGGUUAAAAAGCCUCCGUCUGCACAAGUAUGCUGCACUUUUCUCCCAGAUGACCUAUGAGGAAAUGAUGGCCCUCACUGAGUGCCAGCUGGAGGCUCAGAAUGUUACCAAAGGUGCAAGACACAAAAUUGUCAUCAGUAUUCAGAAGCUCAAAGAAAGACAAAACCUCCUGAAGUCUUUGGAAAGGGACAUCAUUGAGGGGGGCAGCCUGCGCAUCCCACUCCAGGAACUGCACCAGAUGAUCCUGACUCCCAUCAAGGCCUACAGCUCCCCGAGCGCCACACCCGAGGCUCACCGCCGGGAGACCCAGGCCUCGCACCCGCCCUUGCUGAUGGGCCCCGAGAGCCAGAGCCCCGACUGCAAAGACAGUGCUGUGGCCACUGGCGGCACGGCCACCACGCCAGCUGGGGCCAGCGGCGGGAUCCAGCCACGCCCGCUGAGCAGCUGCGAUGGGGAACUGGCCGUCGCUCCCCUGCCGGAGGGAGAUCUCCCCGGGCAGUUCACACGUGUCAUGGGGAAAGUGUGCACACAGCUCUUGGUCUCCAGACCUGAUGAGGAGAAUAUAAGUUCCUAUUUACAGCUCAUAGACAAGUGUCUAAUUCAUGAACACGUGGACCACAGUUCCAGGCCCUUGAGAGGGGAUUCCAUAUCGCAUGAGCAGCCUCGCCGUCUCGAGUACUACAUGUCUGUGUUCACUUGCAGCGGAAUUACCAGGGCACCGGCUACAACCGCAAACUCCCUAGACUCCUCUCCAGAUCUGUUAAAACAGGCUCCGGGCAUUUACAGAGACACAGAAAAAAAGAUUGUUGUCAUGGAAACAGCAGGUGCAGAAGCUCUUCCGGUCUUUCCCUCGGAAAACCCUUCUAGACAUAUCAGGAUAUCGACAGCAAAGAAACCGCGGCUUCGGGCAGUCCAACUCCCUCCCGACGGCCGGCUCUGUGGGCAGUGGCAUGGGCAGGCGGAACCCACGCCAGUACCAGGUCCCCUCUCGGAACGUCCCUUCCACCCGCAUCGGCCUCCUGGGCACCAGUGGAUUCGUCAGCUCCACCCAGCGCAACACCACAGCCAACCCCACCAUCAUGAAGCAAGGAAGACAGAACCUCUGGUUUGCCAAUCCCGGGGGCAGCAACAGCAUGCCCAGCCGCACACACAGCGCAGUGCAGAGGACCCGCUCGCUGCCCGUGCACACUUCUCCACAGAACGUGCUGAUGUUCCAGCCGCCAGAGUUCCAGCUGCCCAUGCCUGACCCUGACAUCAACAACAGGCUGGAGUCCCUGUGCCUCAGUAUGACCGAGCACGCCCUGGGAGACGGGGUUGACCGGACCUCCACAAUCUAGAAGCUGAAGAUGAGAGCGACCGCGCUGGCCGUGAAAUCGACUGCUGCGGGUCCAGUGUCAGCCAUCUGCAGGGCUGCACAGAAUCCUCCAAAUACUUUGCAGCCUUUUUUCCCCUGGUCCCUCUCCCAUUUUGAUUUUGUGAGAGCGUAGGUCGUCCUUGUAAACAUAUCAGUAGCCCUGGGCUUGGUUAUUUUGUCAUUUGUUUCUGUCAUGGGAUGGCUUGGUGUGGGGGUGGGGAGGGGUCUCUAAGGAAACCUGAGACUGGGGUGGGGUGGAGAGUAUGCAAGUGGCUUCCUGGAUGAAAAGGAGGAGAAAAAGAGUACAGCCAUGAAGGAGGUGAGACACCGCAGGGAGGCAGAGCCCAGCCCUGGAGCCUUCUGGAACCCGUCCUGCUCCUCGCAGUCAGGUGAGGGAGGAAGUCAUGGAUACGUGCGACCAAAGCAAGACGGUGGCUCCCCUUUUCUGUCCCCUGAUUGGGGUCCCCGAGGCCCCUGCCUGGAUGAGAGGCCACGUGGCAAGUGGGGAGAAAAGAGAAAGUGCCCCUGACACAAUUUCAGAUAAACUUUGAUUUGUGUAUUGUUUACAUAACGAUUUUAAAGGGUACAUAAUUCGUAAAGAGUUUGGAUAGAACUUCUCUUCCUACUAUGGUUUUUGUAAAGGAUUUGUUGAUAUGAAUUCACUUUUUCCUCUAUUUUUAUACUAGCAGCAGGGUUGUCUUUUCAAAUGGCUGCCAAGCUCUGCUUCCCGGAGAGGCACAGGCCAACCGGCUUUCACCUGUGGGGGGAGCAUGUGGGUGGACUUGAAGGACAAAGAUGUGGCUGGAUGGGCACAAGGAGACAGCACCAUGUGGUCAGUUAGGGUUUGCUCACAGGUCACCUAGAGGUCCUAGAAGAAUGCUGCAGCCCCUUUCUGUGCUGGAUUUGCUUCUCACCCAGGGACCUCUCCUCCUCACCCUCCAUGGGUGUCAUCCCAGCAACCCCGGCCUCGCCCCCCACACCCAGCUGGGACAAGGACCACUGGAGGAGAAGAGGCAAGGACCCACGUUUUUCCCUUGCCAGAGGCCUUAAUACCCAGAUGAGGAGCUCAGAACAUGCUUACAGUGCAGUUCUGCAGGAACCUGAGCCUGGGGCUGCACCCCCUUGGCUGGCUCCCUGCUGAGGACAAGGAGGAGAGCAGGGCCCAGCAACCGUGCAUAAACGUCAGUCAGCAAGUGGCAGAGAGAGCUGCGGGGAGACGCGUGGCCCAGGUGGGCAGUGAAAGAAGAUGCGUGAAGGGUCAACUUCGUGAUGGAAAGGACGGUUCCGUCCACAUGUAUAGUCAGGGACUGGCUGUGUCUAUCCAUCCACACAGAAGGUUACGUGGUGAGAGACUCACAGCCUAUGCUACCACAAAGUAACGGUUCUAUUUCUUAAGGGCAAGAAAGACUGUGUUUCGGAAUUAGAUGCAACGGAGGCUAUUAGAGGAAAUCAAAGGGGAGUUGUGCUCUGCACUGGAAAAUUGGGUUGUGUGAAAGAUGGUGUGAAUGCUCAGCCAGAGGCAAGAGCAAGGAGAUGGUAUAAGGCCUGUUUAUUCAAUGGGUGAGUCUGGUGCCAUUUUUGUAUUUAGCGAAGACAGAGUUGAAAUUGAAGAGAUCAGACCAUGAAAAUCACUGCACAUUUAUGUUUUUUUUUAAGUUAAUGAAGUAAAUACAGAUUUAAAAGGCCUUAAUGAGGGGGCCGGCCUGGUGGUAUAGCGGUUGGGUUCGUACCUUCUGCUUCGGCAGUGCGAGGUUCGCCAGUUCAGGGUUCACCAGUUCGGAUCCUGUGCGUGGACCUACUCACCGCUUAUCAAGCCAUGCUGAGACAGCGCCCCCCAUAGAAGAACUAGAAGAAUCUGCAACUAGGAUAUGCAACUAUGUACUGGGGCUUUGGGGAGAAGAAAAAAAGGCCUUAAUGAAAUCCAAACAACUUUCUUUUACCUUCAGGAUUAAAAAUGUACACCCAAUGCAGCACUGGACAUUGUAACAAGGCUUUUGAAGUUUUUUUAAGGUCUAAAAAGGUGGGAGCAUCUUAACUGUAGAGAGCAUGUAGCAAGCAAAGAAGGCUUGAACCCACAGUGUCAUGUAUUGCAUAAAAACAAGAGACCUCUCCUUGGGUGACUGCAUUCUAAAGAUGCGAAUCCCUAUACAGAAGGAGGCAGCAUUUUUUAGUUGAUUUGUUUGAAUCAAGUGCCAUUAACAUUCGCCGUCCACACCCCUUUUCUAAACCAGCUUAGUGUCACUUGGGGACUGUGUUGGGAUGGAUGAUCACUGUGAGGUGGGAAGCACAGGGCAAAGAGGUGGAAGGCCAAAGGUAAGAGCAGAGGGUUUGCGAAGGUGUUUUUUGUAUGCUAAGAAAGUUAAUAAAGAGAAGAAAAAACAAUGCUAUUACAUAUCUUAUAGAGAAAGGAGAAAACCUUCAGAUCUGCUGCAAAAUAGAUGUAUCCAUAAAGACUCGGGUUGUUCAGAAAACAGAUUGUGGACACAAUCUGUUAGCAUGAAUCCUUUAAAAGGAAGAAUACCUUAAAGUAUUUGCAAAUCUGAAUUUCUAUUUAUUCCUUCACUGAAUAUAGAAACAAUGGUUAUCUGAUUAUUAGAGAUAUUAUUUUGGAUAUGUUACUUAUUAACUUGCUAUGGCUGGUAACCAUGAUAAAGUCUGUUAUUAAUAACAAUAUAAUUCUUUUUUUUUAAAAAAGAAAAGCUUAUUUUUCAUUGACCAUGUAUAGAUUUAUCUACUUAGUUGUGUUUUGCUACUAGUGUUUUAUUUUUUUUUUAAGUUGACUGUUCCGAUAAAUUUUAGGAGCCGCUCCCCACCUUGUUUUGAGUCCUGUGUUGACUGCAGGUAUACAGCUCAAUUUAAAAAUCCUAAAGCAAAAGAAUUUUAUUUAUAAAAGAAUCAAACAGUUGCAUGCAUAAGGCUGUGAAGUCAGAUACUGAGUAAUAAAGCAGCAGUGCCUUUUUUUGUAUUUACCCGUU